UCAGGGCUACUGUAAUCUGAACAGA
rnacentral:misc_RNA from 1 species